GAUGAACGCUGGCGGCGUGCCUAAUACAUGCAAGUCGAGCGAAUGGAUUAAGAGCUUGCUCUUAUGAAGUUAGCGGCGGACGGGUGAGUAACACGUGGGUAACCUGCCCAUAAGACUGGGAUAACUCCGGGAAACCGGGGCUAAUACCGGAUAACAUUUUGAACCGCAUGGUUCGAAAUUGAAAGGCGGCUUCGGCUGUCACUUAUGGAUGGACCCGCGUCGCAUUAGCUAGUUGGUGAGGUAACGGCUCACCAAGGCAACGAUGCGUAGCCGACCGGGGAGGGUGAUCGGCCACACUGGGACUGUGACACGGACCAGACUCCUACGGGAGGCAGCAGUAGGGAAUCUUCCGCAAUGGACGAAAGUCUGACGGAGCAACGCCGCGUGAGUGAUGAAGGCUUUCGGGUCGUAAAACUCUGUUGUUAGGGAAGAACAAGUGCUAGUUGAAUAAGCUGGCACCUUGACGGUACCUAACCUGAAAGCCACGGCUAACUACGUGCCAGCCGCCGCAGUAA
rnacentral:rRNA from 1 species